CAGCAGCCUAGUACUUCCAAUGUUAGCUAAGGGUAUGAAACGUUUUAAUUCACUAUAACUAGAAAUAAUGGCGCACGAUUUUAAAAAUCGGUAUUUUUAGUAGCAUAUGGAGUAGCGAUGCGUGGGUGGUGCAGCUGAUUAUAUUUCCACAGUGUAUCCGGAGUGAAUACGCGCUACAGCCUGUACUAACCGAAGCUGAUGUUUUCAAGAACCAGAGUCACGUGAUGUAUGAGGGGAAACACAUACACUUCUCGGAGGUGGACAAUAAGCCUUUGUGCUCAUACAGCCCAAAACUUUGCAAGCAGCGCAGACUAAAUGGAUACGCCUUCUGUAUACGACAUGUUUUAGAAGACAAGACCGCUCCCUUCAAACAGUGUGAAUAUGUGGCCAAGUACAACAGCCAGCGAUGCACCAACCCCAUCCCCAAAGCUGAGGACCGCAGAUACUGUAACAGCCACUUGCAAGUUCUGGGCUUUAUUCCCAAGAAGGAGCGUAAGAAGAAACAGGAUGCGCUGGAUUCUGUAGCACUGAACAUCACCGUCCCCUCUCUGGCACUCAGAGUCUCCAAUGGUCUGGAUGUUUUGCCUCCGUCUCCACCGUGUACCCGCCUGACCCCCCUAACAUUGCCUGACCCACACCUGCUUGACCCCUUUGCCUUCUUCGAGGAGGACUUGGAUGGAUCGGAUAACACCACACACAAGGACGCUCUCCUUAAGAAAAAAACUGCGAGUCGGCUAGCGCUCAGUCAGCAUGGGUCAGUUCACGACAGUGACAGUACUCCCCCCACAUCGGAGCUGUUAACAUUUGGCAAGGUGGCCGGCACAUUACCCAAAUCUCCACACCUCACAACACCAGCACCUCCACCACCACCACCACCCCCACCCCAGCAUGCUGGUGUCUCCACUUACAAGCAGGGGGCAGCACAGGCUGUGCUAUGCAAGCAAGCGCCACCUCAGCCUGGUGCCUCACAGCUGCCCUCUGUGCCUCAAUCAGCAGGCCAGCAGUUUCGCAAAACCUUCCUCACAGCCCCCAGUCAACUACCUACUGGUGCCCAGGAGUGCCCACAGAGACAUGGAGUGGUCAUGCGUCCCACUGCCUUUACAGCGCCUCCUGCCUGUCUGUCGAGGCUACAACAUCUGGUGCAGCUCUGUGCCCAAAGACAUAAAGAGCACAAAGACCUCUUCCCUCAUCUUGGGCUAGACUGGUCUGAAGACAGUGCUGAUGAGGAUGAAAUAGAGGGGAGAAUUCCUUUAUUCUCGAAGACCUGGAGGCUUCAAGAUAAAAGUCCUGACCACCACGCUGGUAAUGAACAUGUGGAGCCUCGGCAGUCUCGGCUGGCUGGACUAUGUUCGUACCUACAGGACCGCUACAAGCACCUCUGCAGGCAGGAAAGAGCUGCCACUCGUCACAAGAGAUACAGAUAUGCCUUCAGGAAAGCUCUGCUUCAUGCAGCCAGCAAGGACCCUGACUGCACGGGAGAACUUAUCCAGCAGCUGAGCAAAACUUCACACACUUCUGAUAGGCCUGAGAUACAACAGAAAGUCAAAAAAUCAGUGUGUACGGGGAAUACAAAAGGUCAACCCUGCAGUAACCCAUCUCUUCCUUUUACUCAGAACUGCUUUCAACAUAUCCUGCUAAAUCGUUCACAGCAGCUCUUCUCCAGUUGUACAGCUCGAUUUGCUGAUGGCCAGCAGUGCUCUGUCCCAGUUUUUGAUAUCAUACACCAGACGCCUCUCUGUGACGAACACGCCAAGAAAAUGGAUAAUUUCCUUCGUGGGGACAGUAACAGGCGGGUGCAACAACGACGGCCUCGGAAAAAGACCAAACCACCAGCGUUAACAAAGAAACACAAAAAGAAGCGAAGAAGAGUCGUGCGGCGCCCUCAAAAGCCCAUCCCUCCAGCUUUGCCGCAGGGCAAUUUGCCCAUGCCACCUACAUUAGCAUCACAAAGCCAUCAUGCCAGCAUCAGGAGUCCCUCUACACCUGACCUCAGUGCAGAUGAACUUCCUGAUGACAUUACUACCGACAUAGCAGACAUUCCUAACGAUCUGGAGUUGAAUCAGGAGGACUUCUCGGAUGUGCUGCCCAGACUGCCAGAUGACCUUCAGGACUUUGACCUGUUUGAGGGUAAAAACGGUGAGUUGCUGCCCACUACUGAAGAGGCAGAGGAGCUUGUUCGGGCGCUACAGGCCAUGGGCUCGUAUACUGACUCCUUGGUUUGUUUGAACUCCAUGGCUGAAUUGGCUCCAACUGAUGACCAUCGUGCCAUGAGCGUCUUCUCUGGCUCUGGAGUUACGGCGGCAGCCAUGGGCGACCUUUUAAACAGCAGAAUAACAUCAGACACUUUCCCCAACCUGGAAUUGGAGGACAAUCUUCUUCAUCCAUCAACAGAUGAGCAUUUUCCUCCAUCCCUCUCAUCUCAGCCACAUCCAGUCACUGCUUCAUCACCUGCCGCAGGCUCGACCCGGGCGCUGAACGACCGGACGUUUUCUCUUUCUUCUCUCUCUAAACCAGAGCCUGCACUGACCUCUUCUCCUCCAAACAGCCAUUACAGCAGUGACCAUGUUCCAUCUCCCUACUGUGACCAUAUCUCCUCUCCUCAUUCUGCCUCUUAUCAGACUGAGCCUCCUCUCCUGCUGGAGGUGCCUCUCAACGGAUUACCAGGCACUCCCCGCUCCUCCUGGAGCAACCUCGCCCUCUCCCUGACAGAUCCAGUACAGUUUGGAAACCUCCUCACAUCGGAUGCUCAUCUUCUCUCCACCUCUCUGUCCACACCUCCCUCCAUCACACGCUCACCCCCUGCUCCAUCGUCCACCUCCUCUCCAACAAACUCCCCCCGAGACCUGCUCAGCUCGAGCCAGCCCAAACUGCAGCUUCCACAAUUCAGUGCAGCCUUCGGCCACCAACUGGCCUCCCACAGCGGCAUCCCGAAAGACGUGCAGCCCAGCCACAGUUCCAUGGCGCCCCCUACAGGCUUCACAGCCACCAGUGCCACCACUGCAAGUGCCAACAAUUCAGCUCAGCCGAGCAAGUAAAAGAGAAGGAUAGGUAUACACCUAAACCAAGAGCAACAUCAUUUAAAAGCAGUGUGGGAGAUUGGGAUGGCUUUUUCUCUUGUGCUGAGUUCAGUGUCUCCGUUUCUAAUUAAGCCCAGAACAGACGCUCAGACGAAGCCGACUCAGUGAACCGAUCCUGGGCUGUAGAUUUCCUCUUCAGAGAACUCACAGACAUGAGAACAUACGAACCUGGUUACUCAAAGCAAUAAAGAUUAUCAACAUA